ACUCAAAGGAAUUGACGGGGGCCCGCACAAGCGGUGGAGCAUGUGGAUUAAUUCGACGCAACGCGAAGAACCUUACCAAGGCUUGACAUAUACUUGAAUACGUUGGAAACAACGUAGCCUUCGGGCAAGUAAACAGGUGGUGCAUGGUUGUCGUCAGCUCGUGUCGUGAGAUGUUGGGUUAAGUCCCGCAACGAGCGCAACCCUUAUCCUUAGUAGCCAUCGGGUAAUGCCGGGCACUCUAGGGAGACUGCCGUGGAUAACACGGAGGAAGGCGGGGAUGAUGUCAAAUCAUCAUGCCCCUUAUGUCUUGGGCUUCACACGUGCUACAAUGGCUGCAACAAAGUGAUGCGAAAGGGCGACCUGGAGCAAAGCACAAAAAAGCAGUCUCAGUUCGGAUUGUAGUCUGCAACUCGACUACAUGAAGCUGGAAUCGCUAGUAAUCGCGGAUCAUCAUGCCGCGGUGAAUACGUUCCCGGGCCUUGUACACACCGCCCGU
rnacentral:rRNA from 1 species